rnacentral:rRNA from 1 species
GUUGGGUAGGGGAGCGUUCUGUAAGCCUGUGAAGGUGUGUCGUGAGGCAUGCUGGAGGUAUCAGAAGUGCGAAUGCUGACAUAAGUAACGAUAAAGCGGGUGAAAAGCCCGCUCGCCGGAAGACCAAGGGUUCCUGUCCAACGUUAAUCGGGGCAGGGUGAGUCGACCCCUAAGGCGAGGCCGAAAGGCGUAGUCGAUGGGAAACGGGUUAAUAUUCCCGUACUUGGUGUUACUGCGAAGGGGGGACGGAGAAGGCUAUGUUGGCCGGGCGACGGUUGUCCCGGUUUAAGCGUGUAGGUGUGUGUUCCAGGUAAAUCCGGUUCACUUUAACACUGAGGCGUGAUGACGAGGCACUACGGUGCUGAAGCAACAAAUGCCCUGCUUCCAGGAAAAGCCUCUAAGCAUCAGGUAACAUCAAAUCGUACCCCAAACCGACACAGGUGGUCAGGUAGAGAAUACCAAGGCGCUUGAGAGAACUCGGGUGAAGGAACUAGGCAAAAUGGUGCCGUAACUUCGGGAGAAGGCACGCUGACACGUAGGUGAAGUGAUUUACUCAUGGAGCUGAAGUCAGUCGAAGAUACCAGCUGGCUGCAACUGUUUAUUAAAAACACAGCACUGUGCAAACACGAAAGUGGACGUAUACGGUGUGACGCCUGCCCGGUGCCGGAAGGUUAAUUGAUGGGGUCAGCGCAAGCGAAGCUCCUGAUCGAAGCCCCGGUAAACGGCGGCCGUAACUAUAACGGUCCUAAGGUAGCGAAAUUCCUUGUCGGGUAAGUUCCGACCUGCACGAAUGGCGUAAUGAUGGCCAGGCUGUCUCCACCCGAGACUCAGUGAAAUUGAACUCGCUGUGAAGAUGCAGUGUACCCGCGGCAAGACGGAAAGACCCCGUGAACCUUUACUAUAGCUUGACACUGAACAUUGAGCCUUGAUGUGUAGGAUAGGUGGGAGGCUUUGAAGUGUGGACGCCAGUCUGCAUGGAGCCGACCUUGAAAUACCACCCUUUAAUGUUUGAUGUUCUAACGUGGACCCGUUACCCGGGUUGCGGACAGUGUCUGGUGGGUAGUUUGACUGGGGCGGUCUCCUCCUAAAGAGUAACGGAGGAGCACGAAGGUUGGCUAAUCCUGGUCGGACAUCAGGAGGUUAGUGCAAUGGCAUAAGCCAGCUUGACUGCGAGCGUGACGGCGCGAGCAGGUGCGAAAGCAGGUCAUAGUGAUCCGGUGGUUCUGAAUGGAAGGGCCAUCGCUCAACGGAUAAAAGGUACUCCGGGGAUAACAGGCUGAUACCGCCCAAGAGUUCAUAUCGACGGCGGUGUUUGGCACCUCGAUGUCGGCUCAUCACAUCCUGGGGCUGAAGUAGGUCCCAAGGGUAUGGCUGUUCGCCAUUUAAAGUGGUACGCGAGCUGGGUUUAGAACGUCGUGAGACAGUUCGGUCCCUAUCUGCCGUGGGCGCUGGAGAACUGAGGGGGGCUGCUCCUAGUACGAGAGGACCGGAGUGGACGCAUCACUGGUGUUCGGGUUGUCAUGCCAAUGGCACUGCCCGGUAGCUAAAUGCGGAAGAGAUAAGUGCUGAAAGCAUCUAAGCACGAAACUUGCCCCGAGAUGAGUUCU